rnacentral:lncRNA from 12 species
CCUUCAAGACUCCGGCUGACUGUUCCUUCCUUUUUUUUUUUUUGUUGAAACACUAACCAGCAACCUAGAGCCCUGGUGCUUCUGCGCUUCCACAGCAUCCAGAAAGCCUUUCCCAUCCUAUCCUAUCCUAUUGUUUUCUGACUGCGUGGUUACACACUUUUCUCUCCUAAAGACACUGUGUUCCCUGAAUAUAGGGAUUGGGCCCCAUCUACUUCUAUCUGUGCCUUAAAUAAUGAAAGAGGCUUACUAGUUGAUCAAUAAAUAUUUAUUGAAUGUUGAGUGAAAAACAUUUAGCUUAAGCUAUUUGGAGAAAAAUAGAAUAAAGACAUUUUUGUCAAAAGGAGCUUGGGCUUAUUUUCAUAAGGGUAUCUUUUGCAUCCUCAAUUGCACGCUCCUUUUCGUUCUAGGUAACCCUGAGCAAUGUUACCCCCGGGAGUGGCACUCUCGCAGUCAACGAAACGGGGUCCUGUGGAUGAUGUUAGAUGCCUCUGUUGGAAAGGGAAGUAAAAUUAAUGUGACCAGAGAGACAGGAAGACAUUCAGCCAAUGCAUCGCACAUCACAGGGACAACCUCCCCGUGACCACUUUCGGGCAAGUUCGUGCUUGUGUGUGCUUCCCUGCUCAAGCCAGGUGUUUCCUACACUGGGAAGGCUUCCUUGGUGGCCCUUUUCAAUGUAAAUGUUCCUUGUCCUUUGUCACCAGCUGCUAUGUGUGUAUAACGUGCAUUUUAUAGACACUAUCCCUCACGUUUCUGUCUGAACAUCCACCCCGAUGCUCGACUGUAAGCAUCUUGAGGACUCGAAUAAUGUGUCAUCCCAUUUCCUAUAGAAGAUGCUUAACAAAUGUUUGUUGAAUAGAACACUUUGGGAGACACUGGGUACCAUUUAGACUCCCUCAGAAAGGGCCAGGACAAAUUCCAUCGAAUUCCAUCCCCACUUGACAUUCCCAGAGUACAGUCAUUUGCAGUUCUUGCAAUACCUCAUGUUGAUCUCUUUUCCUGGAAAACUCAUCUCCUAUUAAUUGCCUAGUGAAGUCCUACUAAUCUUCUUUCAGAGCCCAAUUACACCUUCCAGGACACCCUUGUCACUGUCAGCCCAGACCUCAAACCAUCAUCAAA